GGCUGAUGUUGCUGCGUCUAUGUUUGAGGGUGAGAGGGGAGCGUGCUUGCUUUGAAAUGAGGCUGUAAAUUUGGCAAUCAUAUUUUCAGAACCCCAAAUUGUAAUACACUAUUCUAGCCUCCUUAGAUUUCAACUAUUCUGGUGCCAGAAGCAGAUGGGAGCUGAAGGAAUGAUGAAGGUUGAAGAAGGGGGGCUUUUCUUGGUGUGGGGCAGUACUGCAUUUGGCCUGCUCUACCAAGCAUACGGGAGUAGUAAAGCCACGGCUGGCAGACCAUUUGGCAUGCAUGCUCAGGGGCCAGUGGAUAAAGAAUUACUUACAGUUCAAACACUGUUUGAACUCAGUGUCGGGAGUAGUUAAAGGUAUCGUGAGAAGUUGCACACAGCUUUGGGGACUCUUGGAAAAGAAAGAGGAAGAAAUGAGGAAGAGGAAGGGUGUCUACAAAGGGCCAGAGAACAGGAUCUCAGAUCAGCUGCUGUAACCAGGUUUCCCCUUGUGGGAAGUGUUGUUUCUUGCUGGGCAGUUGGGAAGGGAAUGGAGAACAGAGAAGAGAGUGGAAAUCACAUGCUCACUUGAACUUUCCUGGGGAACGUCUCCUCACAGCGUGCACAAGAGCCUCCCUUUAGAAAUGGAGUGUUCAUUUUAUCAUGGGAAAAGAAUCUGAGUGGGACAUGAUUCAGAACAGGACCGGCCCAAGGAAGUGCAGGGGCUGUGGAGUGGGAUGGAGACAAGCUCUGAAAGGACACAUGGGAGAUCUAGAUGUAGAAGGUACACAAGUAGUAGGAUAACUCACAGGAUGGAUCCACUGGAGGUUAAGACAUGUGGUAAGACAGUGUAAUAGGAAGCUGCUCAGUUGGAGAAAGUAAGGAAGCAAACAUUGUUACCGUGGGGGCAAUGGAGAGGACAGUGAGGAGCCCUUUAUCCUGAUAAGGGUGGCUUUGAGGUAAAGGAAGGAAAGAGGAUGCCUUGAGAGGCCCCACUGUAUUAGAGAGGACCUGGAAGCCAGGAUGCUAAUUCUGGGGAGAUGGAUUCCCCAGGCUUACUCUAGGAGUAGAGGUCCAUGGGACGAGGGUUUGAUUUGAGAAAGAUCAUUUUCUUGGGAGUGGGUGGUGUGAGCUAGACCCUUGGAGCUGGGAUAAAGGACCUUUUAACCCACUGAGAGGUGGCUGCAAUAAAUGGAAUUGCCCUGGGGGUGAGCAACAGAAACUGGGUCAAGUAAGUUUCUAUUUUUUGCAGCACCUGGGCUGUCCCCCAUGCAGACCCUGAAGGUUUCUGUGUCUGCAGUGACUCUGGGCCUGGGCCUCAUCAUCUUCUCUCUUGGUGUGAUCAGCUGGCGGAGAGCUGGCCACUCUAGUUACACUCCUCUUCCUGGGUCCAAUUAUUCAGAAGGAUGGCACAUUUCCUAGAGGCAGAAUCCUACAACUUCCACUCCAAGUGAGAAGGAGAUUCAAACUCAAUGAUGCUACCAUGCCUCUCCAACAUCUUCAACCCCCUGACAUUAUCUUGGAUCCUAUGGUUUCUCCAUCCAAUUCUUUGAAUUUCCCAGUCUCCCCUAUGUAAAACUUAGCAACUUGGGGGACCUCAUUCCUGGGACUAUGCUGUAACCAAAUUAUUGUCCAAGGCUAUAUUUCUGGGAUGAAUAUAAUCUGAGGAAGGGAGUUAAAGACCCUCCUGGGGCUCUCAGUGUGCCAUAGAGGACAGCAACUGGUGAUUGUUUCAGAGAAAUAAACUUUGGUGGAAAUAUUGUU
rnacentral:lncRNA from 1 species